rnacentral:sRNA from 1 species
UUGACUCUCAAAUGAGAAUAGUUAUGAUUAGCACAACUGGUCGCGAGAUCAGCCGAUAAGCAGCCCGGUGGUUCGGACUCAGCUUAUCUCCUCAUCAGGCUAAUCACGGUUCUUGACCCGGCUUUUGCCGGGUCUUUUUUU